rnacentral:rRNA from 1 species
AGAUUGAACGCUGGCGGCAUGCCUUACACAUGCAAGUCGAACGGCAGCACGGGAGCAAUCCUGGUGGCGAGUGGCGAACGGGUGAGUAAUAUAUCGGAACGUGCCCAGUCGGUGGGGGAUAACGCAGCGAAAGCUAUGCUAAUACCGCAUACGAUCUAUGGAUGAAAGGCGGGGGAUCGCAAGACCUCGCGCGAUUGGAGCGGCCGAUAUCAGAUUAGCUAGUUGGUGGGGUAAAACGCCUAACCAAGG